rnacentral:rRNA from 1 species
UGCAGUCGUACGAUGAAGCCCUUCGGGGUGGAUUAGUGGCGAACGGGUGAGUAACACGUGGGCAAUCUGCCCUUCACUCUGGGACAAGCCCUGGAAACGGGGUCUAAUACCGGAUAACACUCCUGCCUGCAUGGGCGGGGGUUAAAAGCUCCGGCGGUGAAGGAUGAGCCCGCGGCCUAUCAGCUUGUUGGUGGGGUAAUGGCCUACCAAGGCGACGACGGGUAGCCGGCCUGAGAGGGCGACCGGCCACACUGGGACUGAGACACGGCCCAGACUCCUACGGGAGGCAGCAGUGGGGAAUAUUGCACAAUGGGCGAAAGCCUGAUGCAGCGACGCCGCGUGAGGGAUGACGGCCUUCGGGUUGUAAACCUCUUUCAGCAGGGAAGAAGCGAAAGUGACGGUACCUGCAGAAGAAGCGCCGGCUAACUACGUGCCAGCAGCCGCGGUAAUACGUAGGGCGCAAGCGUUGUCCGGAAUUAUUGGGCGUAAAGAGCUCGUAGGCGGCUUGUCACGUCGGAUGUGAAAGCCCGGGGCUUAACCCCGGGUCUGCAUUCGAUACGGGCAGGCUAGAGUGUGGUAGGGGAGAUCGGAAUUCCUGGUGUAGCGGUGAAAUGCGCAGAUAUCAGGAGGAACACCGGUGGCGAAGGCGGAUCUCUGGGCCAUUACUGACGCUGAGGAGCGAAAGCGUGGGGAGCGAACAGGAUUAGAUACCCUGGUAGUCCACGCCGUAAACGUUGGGAACUAGGUGUUGGCGACAUUCCACGUCGUCGGUGCCGCAGCUAACGCA